GUCAUACGCUCGUCUCAAAGAUUAAGCCAUGCAUGUGUAAGUAUAAAUAGUUAACUUUGAAACUGCGAAUGGCUCAUUAUAUCAGUUAUAGUUUAUUUGAUGAAGAAUACUAAUUGGAUAACCGUAGUAAUUCUAGAGCUAAUACAUGUAUAAAGUCUUGUAGACUGCAUUUAUUAGAAUGAAAACCAUAGGUUUCGGCCUAUUCGUGAGUAAUAAUAACUAAUCAUAUCGUAUGCUUAAAGUAACGAUGUGUCUUUCAAGUUUCUGCCCUAUCAGCUUUCGAUGGUAGUGUAUUGGACUACCAUGGCAGUAACGGGUAACGAAGAA
rnacentral:rRNA from 1 species